rnacentral:rRNA from 1 species
GACGAACGCUGGCGGCGUGCUUAACACAUGCAAGUCGAACGGAAAGGCCUGCUUUCCCUUGUGGAUUGCGGGUACUCGAGUGGCGAACGGGUGAGUAACACGUGAGUUAUCUGCCCCCAACUUGGGUAUAAGCCUGGGAAACUGGGUCUAAUUCCCGAUAGGACUGCAGGGUGGUGCCUGUGGUGGAAAACGAUUUUCUCGUGGCUGGGGAUGAGCUCGCGGCCUAUCAGCUUGUUGGUGGGGUAAUGGCCUACCAAGGCGGCGACGGGUAGCCGGCCUGAGAGGGUGGACGGCCACAUUGGGACUGAGAUACGGCCCAGACUCCUACGGGAGGCAGCAGUGGGGAAUAUGGCACAAUGGGCGGAAGCCUGAUGCAGCGACGCCGCGUGGGGGAUGACGGCCUUCGGGUUGUAAACUCCUUUCGACCGCGAGGAAGCCACCUGGUUGGAAGGGUGGUGACGGUAGUGGUAGAAGAAGCACCGGCUAACUACGUG